ensembl:miRNA Mir7a microRNA mir-7a
GGUGGUGGCCAAGGCCCAGAGGAGGUGGUUAGCAAGGCCAUGGACAGGCCAGCCCCGCCUGGAAGACUAGUGAUUUUGUUGUUGUCUCUCUAUACUCAACAACAAGUCCCAGUCUACCACACGGUGCGGGUCCUCUGAGCAUCAGGGGGAGGUAUGGGAGCACCAUUUCUGGAUGUAUUUUCUCUGCCUUCUAUGUUCCCUAGCAAACUACCAAAAUAUUCCUC